rnacentral:rRNA from 1 species
GGGGUGCAACACGAGGACUUCCCAAGAGGUCACCCAUCUUAGUACUGCUCUCGCCCAAGCAUGCUUAACUGGGAGUUCUGAUGGGAUCCGGUGCAUUAGUGCUGGUGUGGUUGCACCA